AUGUAGGCAAGUAGAAUAGAUUUGAUUCGGGACAUUUUUGAAUGAUACUCUAAUAGCAAAGUUAUAUUGAAAUAGCUAUUUUAAAUAAGGUGUGUUUUUAUGCCAAAAGUGGUGAUGAUACAAGGAUGCUUAUUUUUUCUUUUCUUUUUAAAAAAAAAAAAAAAAAAAAAAAAAAAAAUACAAUACUAAGAGAUGUUGUAUGUACAUAAAUUGAAAGUUGUGGAAGCAAUUGGUAUGCAUAUUAUUUAGCAACAAAAAGAUAAACUAAGAUUAAAAUUAAAAUAUAUAAAGUGGCAAUUAUUAAGAACUCACAUCUAAGAAAAGAACUGGUGAUGUUAAUCAUUGAAGAAUAAGAUUACUCAUCUUAUUCUAAUUAUAUCAAGAGCACAAAGGAAGGUACAAAAAAGAGACAAUUAGGAUUGGUCAUGUGAAUUAGAGAUAUCACAACCUAUAGAGAUCAACUUUUCAAUAAUAUGAUAUGAAGCAAUAGCAUGAAUAUGAAGAUGUAAAUAGAGACUUAUGAUAGUCCAAUAUUUGGAGUUACUAGUAGAGAGAGAUGGUAGAAGAAAUACUUGUUAGCACGCAACAAAUUUCUUGGAAUUGCUAGCAGAUUGGUUGAUAGCAAGGAUGAAUUAAAGAACAUAUAGACUUUUAGGAAUUUGAGAGAAAACAGCGACUACCAAAUAGAGGCUUGAAGAUUUAAUAUUGCUUAUAUACAUGAGAUUAAUUAAACUUAAAGAAAUAUUGGAAACAAUAGUCUCAAAUAAAUAGAGAUUAUUUAUAAAAAAAAUAAUGAAUCAAUAUUGUAUCAUCAGGAUUAAAUAAGCAAUACUUUUGAUUUUUAAUGAAUAAUCUUCUUCUAUACUCAUCAUUUUUCUUGUAAAAAAUAAGUUUUUGAAAAGAUCUGGUACAUAGAAGGUGUUUUUAAGUUGGAAGACAUGUCUAUUUAUUAAUCGUAUUUCAAUUGUGCUUUUAUCGCAAAUUGAUAAUGUUGUAUUAUUUCCAAGUUGCACUUUAUUGUCAUGAUGAGAAAAUAAUUCAAAGUCAAUAAAAUGAUGCCUUAUAUGUAAUAAAUGGUCAAUACUUCUUAUAUCAAUAAAUCAAUGAUUGCUUUUAUUUUCACCAAUUUUGGAAGUUCUUUUCAAGCAAUAAGUUUAAGUAUAAUAGAGAUUUGCAUAAAAGAAAGAAAGGAAUUUUAACAUCUUUUGCUCUUUUAUUUGAUUUUGAUUUUUUGGAUGGAUGUUGUAUUACAUCAAUAUUUACAGCAAUUUUUUUUUUUUUUUUUUUUUUUUUAAACGUUCAAAGCUCAAAUGCCUAUUUUUGUGUAAUGAUGAAUGAAGUUGUUGGUUUAAUCUUAACUUUUAUAAAUUUGAAGUUUUUUUUAUUAUUUUUGUUAUAGGAUAGAAUUGCAACUUGCUUUUUACUCUAUAUCCUACAAAGAAAGUUUGAAUUUUUGAAGAUGAGCCUUUCAUGAAUGUUUCUUCUUGGAAAAGAAUUGAAAUAAAUAUUGGAAGUGUGGAAAUUCUAGUUUUCCACAAUAUUUAUAUGUUAGUAGUAUAUCGAGAUGGCAUAGAUCUUAUUAAGGUGAGUAUUUCCAUUUGUAUUAGAAUUAUCACUCUAGUGGAGUGACAUUGUUGGAAAAGUGUUUUGAAAUUAUUCAAAUGUUGAGUGAUGGAUUUACUUGCUUGUAUUUUUUAUGUUAUAAACUUUUCUAAUAAGUGUGCUUAAGUGAUUAUAUUACUUAUUGAAUAUAUAUUUUCAAUAGCUAACUAUACUUCAUUUGCAGAUUUGCAUGCUCCAAUAUAGAAAAAGAUGGUUUUGUUUCCACAAUUCCAAAUGGUCGCAAGAGCAAUUUGAUCUUUUUCUAUGUAAGUAUUAUUGCUUGAUUUGUUGGAAUUGACUCUAUUAUAGCAUUUGUUUCUUGAAGUGUUGUUGAUUCUUUGCCUUUGCCAUACAUAAUUUUCCAUAUGUCUUUAAUUUUAAAUUUCAUUUGUAUCUUUUGUCUCCAAACUAUAUACCAAGUGCUAUCAAAUUUUGGCCAAUUCUUGAUUGUAAGACUACUUGCAGCCAUGUUUUGCAAGAAAAAAGGACUAUUAGUGCCCAAAUUUUUGUGAAGAACGUCUUCAAUACAACCUCUUUUCUAUUUUUAAUAAGCAUAUUUAUUUUUUUUGGAAUUUCCAUAAAAACAAUUCUCAAAAAGCAAGCUCUAAUUCCAUAUUGGAACUUAGGUAUAUAGGAUUUGUAAAUGUGACUUAAGUUCUAUUCAAGUAAAUAAAAGUAUAUAUU
rnacentral:lncRNA from 1 species